CUGCGAUAAGUAAUGUGAAUUGCAGAAUUCAGUGAAUCAUCGAGUCUUUGAACGCACAUUGCGCCCCCUGGCAUUCCGGGGGGCAUGCCUGUCCGAGCGUCAUUGCUGCCCUCAAGCCCGGCUUGUGUGUUGGGUCGUCGUCCCCCCCGGGGGACGGGCCCGAAAGGCAGCGGCGGCACCGUGUCCGGUCCUCGAGCGUAUGGGGCUUUGUCACCCGCUCGAUUAGGGCCGGCCGGGCGCCAGCCGGCGUCUCCAACCUUAUUUUUCUCAGGUUGACCUCGGAUCAGGUAGGGAUACCCGCUGAACUUAA
rnacentral:misc_RNA from 1 species